CAUACACAUGUGUGGAUUUCCAUUCCUUCAUCUCCCCAUGUGUGAGGAGGGACCGCAGUGAUGCACUCUGUGUGUGUGCAUGUCCAAGGCAGCAAUGGAUAUCAGAAAGUGGUCAAAACUAAAGUGCUCCAAAACAAUGUCCAAAGAGCCACAGUAAUGUAAACUGUUGUUUUAGGAAAAGCUGCGUAGGCUCUUCUCUUUUUUAGGUACUGCACAGACUGCAACUAUUGCAGGACAAGUAUAGUGGAAAAAGGAAAACGUCCCUGAUCGAUAAGAUGAGAUGAGACAAAACCACUGCAAGACUCCGACAAGCCGUGGCUCUCAGUUCUCAGUUUCACGGCAAAUUUCCCUCCCUCCCAUUUUCUUUAACCUCGUCUCUUGCCCGCUGUCAUAAGGGAUGUGUUGUGGACGCCACCUCGGCACUGCUGUGAUGCCCACGCUGCGCUACGUCUGCUGGGCUCUGACCUGCAAGCAGCUCCCAGAGCCACACGUGGCUCAUAGCCUGCCUUCAGCUGAGAGCAGGCGCCGGCAACUUUACACUUAUUAAAAUAGCAAUUGUGCAUCCUUUUUGAAAAAGAAAAUGCCUUACAGCAUGUUUUACACAGGGCGCAGAGCAGAUCUGCUCUGUGAGCACAGGCAGAGCUCCAAACGGAGGAAAUGAAUGCUUUGUUGAUGACAGAUCUCUGUUUUUAUUCCCAAGGUUCAGAAGUAAAUUACCACAAAAAUGCAGACAGAACCUGUAAUAUUUGCCUCCGCAUUAUUCAUCCAGCAGUUCGGGAGCCGCAGAUCAGCAUGUGAAAGACAGCAGUUAAAAUACAGGGCCCAUUCCCAUCUCUUCUGCGCUGGUGUAAAUCAAGACUAACAUUCAGUGAAGCCAAUGGAGUGUAAAAUUGGUAGUGGGAAGUCUGUCUCUGCUCACCAGACCCUGUGCCCAUCCAGGUGGAUGUGUGUCUCCGCUGAGAGGUUCCUUGAGGAACAUGGGGCGCCGGAGCAGAGCUGCUCUGCCCACCUGGAAGCUACAGGCAGGGAUGCAAAAGGAGCAGUAAGUGAUCUAAUACUAUAAAAGUAAAUGAUUUUCUGCUAGUAUACUUAGUUCAUACACGUUUCAGCUGAAACCAGAGAGAGAUGUUUUCCAGUAAAACACCACAGUGCACUGUUUAACAAGAUUUGACAGAAAUGUUUUCUUUUCUGCUCUGUUGUGAGGAAUCAGGGCAUGCAGGCAGGGGCACUUACCUCGUCCUGUGGAAUGCAGCCUGCAGCGUCACGCAGAGCUGGAAAUGAGCUCCUGCAGAAGCACACAUGCAUUGCUGGAGAAAAUGCAAGGGCA
rnacentral:lncRNA from 1 species